GGGCGAGUGGCGGAAUCGGCAGACGCACUGGCUUCAGGAGCCAGCGGGGCAACCCAUGGAGGUUCGAAUCCUCUCUCGCCCA
rfam:Candidatus Sungbacteria bacterium RIFCSPHIGHO2_02_FTLL_52_23 rifcsphigho2_02_scaffold_18545, whole genome shotgun sequence.